GGGCGAGUAGUUCAGCUGGUUAGAACGCCUCGCUUACACCGAGGAGGUCACUGGUUCGAGUCCAGUCUCGCCCA
rfam:Candidate division WOR_1 bacterium DG_54_3 WOR1_52_54_7849, whole genome shotgun sequence.